AUCCUGAAGAAGGUAGAAAUGAACAGGGCCCUCCGAGGCCUCGCUUGACCUCCAUCUUGGAGAAGAUGCCCAAGGAACUUCCCCGAGGAUCGCCCAGGCCAAGCUUGUGAAAGCCGGCCAUCACAUCUCCCCCAGCGUUGUUGCAUGCCAGGUGGACUGGGGAGCUGCUACGGAGAGCGUUCCUAGGUUCCAGAGACGGCCUUCACUUCUGGAAGGUAAUUUUCUGCCAUUUUUUUCUGUCACAUAUUAUCGUAAUGUUUAAGCGUGGUUAAAAAUUGUGAGGUGACUGGAGUGGGGAUCCAGAAACUUAACAGAAAGGAGAGACGUGUGGAGGUCCCUGAGUUC